rnacentral:rRNA from 1 species
CCUACGGGCGGCAGCAGUGAGGAAUAUUGGUCAAUGGGCGGGAGCCUGAACCAGCCAAGCCGCGUGAGGGAUGACGGUACAGCGUAUCGUAAACCUCUUUUGUCAGGGAACAAAGGCGGGGACUAGUCCCCGGAUGAGGGUACCUGAAGAAAAAGCAUCGGCUAACCCCGUUCCAGCCGCCGCGGUAAUACCGAGGAUGCGAGCGUUAUCCGGAUUUAUGGGGUUUUAAGGGUGCGCAGGCGGCAUGUUAAGUCAGCGGUAAAAGCGCGGGGCUCAACCCCGGCGAGCCGUUGAAAAUGGCGGGCUGGAGUUGGAGAGAAGUACGCGGAAUGCGCGGUGUAGCGGUGAAAUGCUUAGAUAUCGCGCAGAACCCCGAUUGCGAAGGCAGCGUACCGGCUCCACACUGACGCUGAGGCACGAAAGCGUGGGUAUCGAACAGGAUUAGAUACCCUGGUAGUC